AAUAUUGUAAGUGCCUGGUCCUGAGGUCCACGACAAAACGACUGAGAUCAAUGGGCUCACAAUUCAGCAGCUUCUGUUUGAAGAUGUGGGAGUGUGCCAAACCAUCCAUGGCUGACAGAAUAUGGGAGGACCAAUAAUCAUCGGACCUUGAGCUCAGCCGCAUGUCAGCCUGCAAAAUCUUUUUCAUUAUCGAGCUGUUGCAUCGGGUCAGAGAGUUAUAAAGACGCA
rnacentral:lncRNA from 1 species